GUGAGCCGAGUGGGGGAGGGGCGGGCGCCGAUGGGAAAAUGGGAGCAGGGUCAAGGGAGCUGGCAGGGAAAGAGGGGUUGGCAAAAACCUUAAAGUCUGACAAUACCAAGCCUUGCUGAGGAUUCGAGCGAUCGUCAUCCACUGCCAGCGGGGGCGUCAACCGGAACAAGCACUCUGAACGCCCUCUGGUAACAUCUCAUAAAUGGGACACACGCACAUCCCCUGACCCGCAAACUCCACUCCCAGGUACUCAUUAGUACUCAGUGCGAUUCCUCACCCGGCACCGAGGCUGGGGCGUGAGCUUGAGGAAGGUUGUUCUCUGGAAGAGGGGCUGCAGCCAGGGGGCCACUGAUCUGACCAGAAACUCAUUCACACGAUUGCCACCGUGAACGCUCUUGCACCAGGUGGCUGAGGUCUCCCGGGAGCUGCAGGCGACGGCGGGCACCCCCUCUCCGUGAGAACACCCAGAAUCGGGGGUGAAACAGCCACCAGACCAGCGUCCCCUGGUCAGCGGGAAGAAAGCGGCCGGCCCGGGGUCCCGUCCAGGGCAAGGCUGGGUGCCCCCGGAGGGGAGCUGGGAAGACCCCCUUCACGGGCCUGGAACUUCAAGAUUGGUUUCUCUAAGCUCAUGGUGCUCGAGAAAAAUUUUGAGAAACAAAAUAUCCUUAAGAAACAGCCCGUUAGCUGUUCCACGGCGUUCCCAGCAGGUUUUCCUCCCACCAGUGCC
rnacentral:lncRNA from 1 species